rnacentral:rRNA from 1 species
GUCGAACGAGCGAGAGAGAGCUUGCUUUCUCAAGCGAGUGGCGAACCGGUGAGUAACGCGUGAGGAACCUGCCUCAAAGAGGGGGACAACAGUUGGAAACGACUGCUAAUACCGCAUAAGCCCACGACUCGGCAUCGGGUAGAGGGAAAAGGAGCAAUCCGCUUUGAGAUGGCCUCGCGUCCGAUUAGCUAGUUGGUGAGGUAAUGGCCCACCAAGGCGACGAUCGGUAGCCGGACUGAGAGGUUGAACGGCCACAUUGGGACUGAGACACGGCCCAGACUCCUACGGGAGGCAGCAGUGGGGAAUAUUGCACAAUGGGGGAAACCCUGAUGCAGCGACGCCGCGUGGAGGAAGAAGGUCUUCGGAUUGUAAACUCCUGUUGUUGAGGAAGAUAAUGACGGUACUCAACAAGGAAGUGACGGCUAACUACGUGCCAGCAGCCGCGGUAAAACGUAGGUCACAAGCGUUGUCCGGAAUUACUGGGUGUAAAGGGAGCGCAGGCGGGAAGACAAGUCGGAAGUGAAAUCCAUGGGCUCAACCCAUGAACUACUUUCAAAACUGUUUUUCUUGAGUAGUGCAGAGGUAGGCGGAAUUCCCGGUGUAGCGGUGGAAUGCGUAGAUAUCGGGAGGAACACCAGUGGCGAAGGCGGCCUACUGGGCACCAACUGACGCUGAGGCUCGAAAGUGUGGGUAGCAAACAGGAUUAGAUACCCUGGUAGUCCACACUGUAAACGAUGAUUACUAGGUGUUGGAGGAUUGACCCCUUCAGUGCCGCAGUUAACACAAUAAGUAAUCCACCUGGGGAGUACGACCGCAAGGUUUGAACUCGAAGGAAUUGAC